rnacentral:snoRNA from 1 species
UGGACACUAAUAGACCUUGAACAAUUUGCUGUUGUUCUUUUAGUUUGCACUGAGCUACAAAAUAAUCCCUGCACUUUCUGUCUGCCUUUGUGGCACUUCAGAUUGCAUUGGAGAAUACAACA